rnacentral:rRNA from 1 species
AUUGAACGCUGGCGGCGUGCUUAACACAUGCAAGUCGAACAGUGGCGAACGGGUGAGUAAUGCUUGGGAAUCUAGCUUAUGGAGGGGGAUAACUACGGGAACCUGUAGCUAAUACCGCUUACCAUAGGAUGAGCCCACGUGGGAUUAGGUAGUUGGUGAGGUAAAGGCUCACCAAGCCGACGAUCCCUAGCUGGUCUGAGAGGAUGACCAGCCACACUGGGACUGAGACACGGCCCAGACUCCUACGGGAGGCAGCAGUGGGGAAUAUUGCGCAAUGGGGGCAACCUGACGCAGCCAUGCCGCGUGAAUGAAGAAGGCCUUCGGGUUGUAAAGUUCUUUCGGUAGCGAGGCGUUAACUACAGAGGAAGCACCGGCUAACUCCGUGCCAGCAGCCGCGGUAAUAC